rnacentral:rRNA from 1 species
GGCCAGACUCCUACGGGAGGCAGCAGUGGGGAAUAUUGCACAAUGGGGGAAACCCUGAUGCAGCGACGCCGCGUGAGUGAAGAAGUAUUUCGGUAUGUAAAGCUCUAUCAGCAGGGAAGAAAAUGACGGUACCUGACUAAGAAGCCCCGGCUAACUACGUGCCAGCAGCCACGGUAAUACGUAGGGGGCAAGCGUUAUCCGGAUUUACUGGGUGUAAAGGGAGCGUAGACGGCAUGGCAAGUCAGAUGUGAAAGCCCGGGGCUCAACCCCGGGACUGCAUUUGAAACUGUCAGGCUGGAGUGCAGGAGAGGUAAGUGGAAUUCCUAGUGUAGCGGUGAAAUGCGUAGAUAUUAGGAGGAACACCAGUGGCGAAGGCGGCUUACUGGACUGUAACUGACGUUGAGGCUCGAAAGCGUGGGGAGCAAACAGGAUUAGAUACCCUUGUA